rnacentral:tRNA from 1 species
UGGGGUGUGGCUCAGUUGUAGAGGGCUUGCUUAAUAUGUGUGAGGCACUGGGUUUGAUCCCCAGCACUACAU